GCCGGACUCUGCAUGAGUCACCGCCUGCCUGCAAGCCCAGAGCUCGCCGCACCCCCCUGCCUCUCCGCACCGUCCCACAGGCUGUGACCCUCCACCCAGCCAUAGACGGUUCUGCUCUUGGCACAAAGGAGGGCUUCUUAGCCGGGAAUAUGGCUGCCCGGGAGGGGCGACUUCUGUGCUUGUUUUUCCUUCCUGGCACUGAAAACAAGCACAUCCACCCAACAAAUAAAGACGCGGUCAAUGAAAGCAGCUGUGUUUCAAGGGGAGACAGGGAGCAAGCCAAGGAAUAAAUGAAAAGACCCAGUGACAAAAUGCCCAUUCAUCGGGUUCACUCGGCAAACAUUUACUGAAGCAUCUGUGUGCCAGGCACUGUCCUGAGUGCUGGGAAGACACAAAGAUGCCCUUCAGAACGAUGACCCCCGCCUCGCCCUCCGCUGGAACCGGGAGGCAGACACACACAUAAAUACGACACAGUCAACCGUCCCCAGUUCACAGCAUCUAAAGGAGCUAGGAAUGCAUGGGAUGCUUAUGGAAUGUGCGAGAACACGGGUGAGUCUCACAAAAAGAAUGUACACGGAGUACAUACUGUCGGAUUCCAUUUCUAUCAACUCCUGAAGCCUGCAGAGCUAACACCUACUGCUGGAGGGCAAGGCAGUAGCUGCUUGUUGGGGUAGGAGAUGAGGAGAACACCAAGUGGGCUUCUGGAAUGCUGGACACCCGUGUAGAGACAAAGUCUCACUGUGUUCCCAGGCUGAUCCCCAACUCCUGAGCUCAAGCCAGCCACCAGCCUUGGCCUCCCAAAGUGCUGGGAUUACAGGCGUGAGCCACCACGCCGGGCCCAGAUGAACAGACUUCAUGGCUGAGACAGAGCUGAGAGCAGAGAAAACAGACUCAUAAAAUCCUGGCAGAAUCUUUCCAUUCUAAUAGCUCAAGCUUCCCCUAUUGCACAGAAGAAAUGCAAGCCUCUUCCCUUCUGGAAUCGCACCAUGGGCAGUACUCCAGAGAGUGGAAACUCUCUGACACCAAACAAGGGACAAUUCAAGAAUAAAUGGCACCUGAGUCCCAGGAGGGCAAAGCAGAGUGAGAAAAGAAUUAGUGAGUGAUGUGGAAAGGACAACAUCCUUUCAUCCCAGAGUCAAAGCCCCGGCAAGCCUCCAGGCCUCAGCGCUCCCUCUGUCUUACAGCACAAAAACACCUUUUGUGGAUGGGAAAGGACUCAGGACGUGAUCAGACUGGCCUGCUGAGAGUAUCAUAGGGAAGUGCUGGAUGGGUUCAUGGAAAGAAGUAUACACAGAUGAGGAACAGCAGAAAGGCAUG
rnacentral:lncRNA from 1 species